UACGAAGGGGGCUAGCGUUGCUCGGAUUUACUGGGCGUAAAGGGCGCGUAGGCGGACAUUUAAGUCGGGGGUGAAAGCCCGGGGCUCAACCUCGGAAUUGCCUUCGAUACUGGAUGUCUUGAGUGUGAGAGAGGUGUGUGGAACUCCGAGUGUAGAGGUGAAAUUCGUAGAUAUUCGGAAGAGCACCAGUGGCGAAGGCGACACACUGGCUCACUACUGACGCUGAGGCGCGAAAGCGUGGGGAGCAAACAGG
rnacentral:rRNA from 1 species